GAUGAACGCUAGCGGGAGGCCUAACACAUGCAAGCCGAGCGGUAUUGUUUCUUCGGAAAUGAGAGAGCGGCGUACGGGUGCGGAACACGUGUGCAACCUGCCUUUAUCUGGGGGAUAGCCUUUCGAAAGGAAGAUUAAUACUCCAUAAUAUAUUGAACGGCAUCGUUUAAUAUUGAAAGCUCCGGCGGAUAGAGAUGGGCACGCGCAAGAUUAGCUAGUUGGUGAGGUAACGGCUCACCAAGGCGAUGAUCUUUAGGGGGCCUGAGAGGGUGAUCCCCCACACUGGUACUGAGACACGGACCAGACUCCUACGGGAGGCAGCAGUGAGGAAUAUUGGUCAAUGGGUGCAAGCCUGAACCAGCCAUCCCGCGUGAAGGACGACUGCCCUAUGGGUUGUAAACUUCUUUUGUAUAGGGAUAAACCUACCCUCGUGAGGGUAGCUGAAGGUACUAUACGGAUAAGCACCGGCUAACUCCGUGCCAGCAGCCGCGGUAAUACGGAGGGUGCAAGCGUUAUCCGGAUUUAUUGGGUUUAAAGGGUCCGUAGGCGGACUUAUAAGUCAGUGGUGAAAGCCUGUCGCUUAACGAUAGAACUGCCAUUGAUACUGUAAGUCUUGAGUAUAUUUGAGGUAGCUGGAAUAAGUAGUGUAGCGGUGAAAUGCAUAGAUAUUACUUAGAACACCAAUUGCGAAGGCAGGUUACCAAGAUAUAACUGACGCUGAGGGACGAAAGCGUGGGGAGCGAACAGGAUUAGAUACCCUGGUAGUCCACGCCGUAAACGAUGCUAACUCGUUUUUGGGCUUUAGGGUUCAGAGACCAAGCGAAAGUGAUAAGUUAGCCACCUGGGGAGUACGCUCGCAAGAGUGAAACUCAAGGGAAUUGACGGGGGCCCGCACAAGCGGUGGAUUAUGUGGUUUAAUUCGAUGAUACGCGAGGAACCUUACCAAGACUUAAAUGGGAAUUGACAGCUUUAGAAAUAGAGCUUUCUUCGGACAAUUUUCAAGGUGCUGCAUGGUUGUCGUCAGCUCGUGCCGUGAGGUGUUAGGUUAAGUCCUGCAACGAGCGCAACCCCUGUCACUAGUUGCCAUCAUUCAGUUGGGGACUCUAGUGAGACUGCCUACGCAAGUAGAGAGGAAGGUGGGGAUGACGUCAAAUCAUCACGGCCCUUACGUCUUGGGCCACACACGUAAUACAAUGGCCGGUACAGAGGGCAGCUACACAGCGAUGUGAUGCAAAUCUCGAAAGCCGGUCUCAGUUCGGAUUGGAGUCUGCAACUCGACUCUAUGAAGCUGGAAUCGCUAGUAAUCGCGCAUCAGCCAUGGCGCGGUGAAUACGUUCCCGGGCCU
rnacentral:rRNA from 1 species